rnacentral:rRNA from 1 species
GACGAACGCUGGCGGCGUGCCUAACACAUGCAAGUCAACUUGACUGAAGGAGCAAUCUGACAGUAGAGUGGCGCAAGGGUGCGUAACGCGUAAGUAACUUGCCCCAAGGUAAGGAAUAACGUCGAGAAAUCGGCGCUAAUACCUCAUAAUGCAGCGGAUCCGCAUGGAUAUGUUGUUAAAGGUUUACCGCCUUGGGAUAGGCUUGCGUCUGAUUAGCUAGUUGGUGUGGUAACGGCACACCAAGGCUACGAUCAGUAACUGGUCUGAGAGGAUGAUCAGUCACACUGGAACUGAGACACGGUCCAGACUCCUACGGGAGGCAGCAGUGAGGAAUAUUGGGGCAAUGCUCGAAGAGUGACCCAGCAACGCCGCGUGGAGGAUGAAGGUAUUCUAUAUCGUAAACUCCUGUGAGAGCAGACGAAAGACAGAUUAUAAUCU